GACGGAAGGUGCAAGCGUUGCUCGGAAUCACUGGGCGUAAAGGGUGCGUAGGCGGCUUGGUGGGUCUGGUGUGAAAGCCCCGGGCUCAGCCCGGGAAGGGCGCUAGAAACUGCCGAGCUCGAGUGCCGGAGGGGAGAGUGGAAUUCCUGGUGUAGCGGUGAAAUGCGUAGAUAUCUGGAGGAACACCGGUGGCGAAGGCGGCAUCCUGGACCAACACUGACACUGAGGAGCGAAAGCCAGGGGAGCAAACAGG
rnacentral:rRNA from 1 species